AGUGAACGCUGGCGGUAUGCCUAACACAUGCAAGUCGAACGGCAGCACAGUAAGAGCUUGCUCUUACGGGUGGCGAGUGGCGGACGGGUGAGGAAUACAUCGGAAUCUACUUUUUCGUGGGGGAUAACGUAUGGAAACUUACGCUAAUACCGCAUACGACCUACGGGUGAAAGCAGGGGAUCUUCGGACCUUGCGCGAUUGAAUGAGCCGAUGUCGGAUUAGCUAGUUGGCGGGGUAAAGGCCCACCAAGGCGACGAUCCGUAGCUGGUCUGAGAGGAUGAUCAGCCACACUGGAACUGAGACACGGUCCAGACUCCUACGGGAGGCAGCAGUGGGGAAUAUUGGACAAUGGGCGAAAGCCUGAUCCAGCCAUACCGCGUGGGUGAAGAAGGCCUUCGGGUUGUAAAGCCCUUUUGUUGGGAAAGAAAAGCAGCAGGUUAAUACCCCGCUGUUAUGACGGUACCCAAAGAAUAAGCACCGGCUAACUUCGUG
rnacentral:rRNA from 1 species